GGGGACUCCAAACUUAGAAACAUAUUCCUGCAUUUAUUGGAUCGGACCGACAAGAUAUUCCACUACAGGAUUGAGUGUAAGAACGAAACCAUGACGUUCAGAGAGUUGAACAGACGAAUGGGCGAGGUGAGGUGGGAGGCCAUGGAGGCCGCGACCCCGCUGUUUCCAGGCCUGCGCGUUACCAACAGCUUCAGCAUGUUCGAGGAGCACCAGCCAUCCAAGUUCCCGAAAUCGAAGGAGCUGAGGCAGCUUCAGCGCUGGUCCGAAGGCGCCGAGGAUCUCCCCGAC